rnacentral:sRNA from 10 species
UGAACACAAGACAACGAAAGCCCUACCUCUCAAUCGUCACUGCGGCUCCGAAGCCGCGCCGGUGUGAAUUGUAAAACAAAAAAGUCU